AUUGAACGCUGGCGGCAGGCUUAACACAUGCAAGUCGAGCGGGGUGAUGGUGCUUGCACUAUCACUUAGCGGCGGACGGGUGAGUAAUGCUUAGGAAUCUGCCUAUUAGUGGGGGACAACAUUUCGAAAGGAAUGCUAAUACCGAAUACGUCCUACGGGAGAAAGCAGGGGAUCUUCGGACCUUGCGCUAAUAGAUGAGCCUAAGUCGGAUUAGCUAGUUGGGGGGGUAAGGGCCUACCAAGGCGACGAUCUGUAGCGGGUCUGAGAGGAUGAUCCGCCACACUGGGACUGAGACACGGCCCAGACUCCUACGGGAGGCAGCAGUGGGGAAUAUUGGACAAUGGGCGGAAGCCUGAUCCAGCCAUGCCGCGUGUGUGAAGAAGGCCUUAUGGUUGUAAAGCACUUUAAGCGAGGAGGAGGCUACUUUAGUUAAUACCUAGAGAUAGUGGACGUUACUCGCAGAAUAAGCACCGGCUAACUCUGUGCCAGCCGCCGCAGUAAUAC
rnacentral:rRNA from 1 species